GAUGAACGCCGGCGGUGUGCCUAAUACAUGCAAGUCGUACGCACUGGCCCAACUGAUUGAUGGUGCUUGCACCUGAUUGACGAUGGAUCACCAGUGAGUGGCGGACGGGUGAGUAACGCGUAGGUAACCUGCCUCAUAGCGGGGGAUAACUAUUGGAAACGAUAGCUAAUACCGCAUAACAGUAUUUACCGCAUGGUAGAUGCUUGAAAGGAGCAACUGCUUCACUAUGAGAUGGACCUGCGUUGUAUUAGCUAGUUGGUGAGGUAACGGCUCACCAAGGCUUCGAUACAUAGCCGACCUGAGAGGGUGAUCGGCCACACUGGGACUGAGACACGGCCCAG
rnacentral:rRNA from 1 species